rfam:Lasius niger Lnig_2.1_16594, whole genome shotgun sequence.
CAAUCGGCCCUUUUCAGGGCCACCACAAACAAAGCCAAAAACAAUUU